rnacentral:tRNA from 1 species
UGGCAGAAUAGUGCAAUGGACUUAAACCCCAAAUAUAAAGUUCCAACUUU